UACGGGGGGGGCAAGCGUUGUUCGGAAUUACUGGGCGUAAAGGGCUCGUAGGCGGCCAACUAAGUCCGACGUGAAAUCCCCAGGCUUAACCUGGGAACUGCGUCGGAUACUGGAUGGCUUGAAUCCGGGAGAGGGAUGCGGAAUUCCAGGUGUAGCGGUGAAAUGCGCAGAUAUCAGGAGGAACACCAAUUGCGAAGGCAGCUCGCUGGGACGUAACUGACGCUGAGACGCGAAAGCGUGGGGAGCAAACAGG
rnacentral:rRNA from 1 species